rnacentral:rRNA from 1 species
AGCGUAGGCGGACUUUUAAGUGGGAUGUGAAAUACUCGGGCUCAACCUGAGUGCUGCAUUCCAAACUGGAAGUCUAGAGUGCAGGAGGGGAAAGUGGAAUUCCUAGUGUAGCGGUGAAAUGCGUAGAUAUUAGGAGGAACACCAGUGGCGAAAGCGGCUUUCUGGACGACAACUGACGCUGAGGCGCGAAAGCCAGGGGAGCAAACG